UUGAAAACAGAGAAAUUUCAUGGAAAUUUGAAGAUGUUGUGAUUUACAAUGUCUUUUAUGAUUAAUGUGUAUUUGGUUUUGAAAUGUAAUUGUUGAAUUUGAUGUGUUUUCUUUGAAAUAUGCAAUGUCAGGGAAGAGUUUGCAGUGUAUUGAACUAAUUAAUGUGCAUUUUGGGCUUGUUUUGUUAAGAUAUGUGAUGUGUUUUGGGUUUGUAUUAUUAAG
rnacentral:lncRNA from 1 species